rnacentral:rRNA from 1 species
UACGUAGGGCGCAAGCGUUGUCCGGAAUUAUUGGGCGUAAAGAGCUCGUAGGCGGUCUGUCACGUCUGCCGUGAAAACCCGAGGCUUAACCUCGUGGCUUGCGGUGGAUACGGGCAGACUAGAGGUAGGUAGGGGAGAACGGAAUUCCCGGUGUAGCGGUGAAAUGCGCAGAUAUCGGGAGGAACACCGGUGGCGAAGGCGGUUCUCUGGGCCUUACCUGACGCUGAGGAGCGAAAGCAUGGGGAGCGAACGGG